UUUCCUCCGCAUUCAAAUUGGUUUUUUUUCAUUUAUUUCAAAUUUGCCCCGUUUUUUUCAUCUUUUGUUCAAUUUAAUUUUUUUAAACUAUUUCACUAUUUAAUUAUUAUUUUUAUUUGUUGUUAUUAUAUUAUAUUAUUACUUGUUUAUUAUUAUUUAUUAUUUUUUUGUCAUCAUUAUUAUUUUCAUUAUUUUUAUACAUGUACACGCAUCUCUUAUGUAUAAUUUUUAUAAUUAC
rnacentral:lncRNA from 1 species